CCCUUAGAUGUUCUGGGCCGCACGCGCGUUACACUGAUGCAUUCAACGAGUUUCUUCCUGGUCCGAGAGGAAUGGGUAACCUUUUGAAAGUGCAUCGUGAUAGGGAUAGACUAUUGCAAUUAUUGGUCUUCAACGAGGAAUGCCUAGUAAACGCAAGUCAUCAGCUUGCAUUGAUUACGUCCCUGCCCUUUGUACACACCGCCCGUCGCUCCUACCGAUUGAAUGAUCCGAUGAAUAUCAUGGAUUGAGGAUGUAAGCAGGUUCGCCUGUCUUCAUCUUCGAGAAGUGAAGUAAAUCUUAUCAUUUAGAGGAAGGAGAAGUCGUAACA
rnacentral:rRNA from 1 species